GUACUGUGCGAACGUUAUUCGGAAUCACUGGGCUUAAAGGGUGCGUAGGCGGCCAGGCAAGUAGGAUGUGAAAUCUUCCGGGCUCAACCGGAAAACUGCGUUCUAAACUGCCUGGCUUGAGUGAGAUAGGGGUGUGCGGAACUUCCAGUGGAGCGGUGAAAUGUGUUGAUAUUGGAAGGAACGCCGUUAGCGAAAGCGGCACACUGGGUCUCAAUUGACGCUGAGGCACGAAAGCCAGGGUAGCGAACGGGAUUAGAUACCCCGGUAGUCCUGGCUGUAAACGUUGAGCACUAGUUGGGAGGGGCUUCGGCCCAUCCGGACGUAGCGAAAGCGAUAAGUGCUCCGCCUGGGGAGUAUGGUCGCAAAGGCUG
rnacentral:rRNA from 1 species